UAGAUGAGGAUGAAGCAAAUACUAUUAAUCCACAUUUGAUCUGAGAUAAUCUAUUCGUUUAUCUUUCAAAUGUUAUGUGAGCUUCUGAAUCUAC
rnacentral:snoRNA from 1 species